GCCGGGUGUGGUAUCGCAUGCCUUUAAUCCCAGCACUUGGAAGGCAGAGGCAGGUGGAUUUCUGAGUUUGAGGCCAGCCUGGUCUACAGAGUGAGUUCCAGGACAGCCAGGGCUACACAGAGAAACCCUGUCUCGAAAAACAAAAAAAAACAAAAAAAACAAAAAAAAAAGAUUUUAAAUCUUUCUUUUUUUUUUUUUUUUUUUUGGUUUUUCGAAACAGUUUCUCUGUGUAGCCCUGGCUGUCCUGGAACUCACUCUGUAGACCAGGCUGGCCUGGAACUCAGAAAUCCGCCUGCCUC
rnacentral:SRP_RNA from 1 species